rnacentral:piRNA from 1 species
UGGUCUUUGGUGUCCAUGGGUACCAUUCC